rnacentral:lncRNA from 1 species
AGCUGUUUGCAAUUCAAAUUAGUUUGUCAAGUGGUUUCAGAUUCUUCAAUCAGGGUCCUGAAGUUAACCUGGGGACACUGAGUGAAGGCUGUAAUUGCAAAGAUGUUUUCACAUGGGUGAAUUGGAAGCCCUAUCGAUGAAAAGCAAACGACGGAAUAGGGCCCUGGAUUGCUUGGCUGAAUGGAAGGGAAAAUGAAACAGUGAGUCGGUUGUCAUUUUCUCUCAAGCGAGGCAAAGUCACUGAAGGGAUCAGAGAAAGGUUUAAAUGUGGAACGAUCAAUCUUAGAUGUGAUCUGGACUUCAGUUGAGUGGAAUUUCUUGAAUCCUUGAUGUGAAUGAGGAAUGCGGAGGAGCCCAUGCGAAAGCAGAUUUACUGGAAAGGAGAACUGGAAAUUUCAAGGAGCUGAAGACUAUAGGAUGUCAACUGUGGAUACAACUCACAAGCUACCAUAUUGAUGUGACAUGAUGAAGUGGGAAGGAAAGCCAUCUGGAGUUUCACUGGUGAAUUGAUACAUCUUGCACUUAACAUUGUGUAUCCCCUGGACUUUGAUCAAAUGGACAUGGGCUUUCUGAUCUACUGCAGAGUGCCUGGAAAUUCAGCUCCUAGGAGGAAGGAACUUGCAUUAUCUCAGGUGAGACUUUGGACUUGGACUUUUGGAUUAAUGCCGGAGUGAUAUAAGACUUUGGGGGACUGUUGGGAAGGCCUGAUUGUGUUUUGAAAUGUGAGAACAUGAGAUUUGAGAGGGUCCAGGGGUGGAAUGAUAUGGUUUGGCUGUGACCCCACCCAAAUCUCAUCUUGAAUUGUAAUCCCGAUAAUCCCACCUGUUGAGAAGGGGCCUGGUAAAUGAUGGGAUCAUGGAGGCGUUUUCCCCCAUGCUGUUCUCAUGAUAGUGAGUUCUCAGGAGAUCUGAUGGUUUUAUAAACGGCAGUUUCCCCUAAGCUUUUCUCUCUCUUCUGCUUCCUUGUGAAGAGGUACUUGCUUCUCCUUCACCUUCCAUCAUGAUUGUAAGUUUCCUGAGGCCUCCCCAGCCAUGUGGAACUGUGAGUCAAUUAAACCUG